rfam:Triticum aestivum genome assembly, contig: Triticum_aestivum_CS42_TGACv1_scaffold_049369_1BS
UAUAUACUCCCCUAUCCGAAAAUACUUGUCAUCAAAAUGGAUAAAAAGAGAUGUAUCUAGAACUAAAAUACAUCUAGAUACAUUCCCUUUUAUCCAUUUUGAUGACAAGUAUUUCCGGAUGGAGGGAGUACUUC